rnacentral:misc_RNA from 1 species
GAUGAAGAACGUAGCGAAAUGGGAUACUUGGUGUGAAUUGCAGAAUCCCGUGAACCAUCGAGUCUUUGAACGCAAGUUGCGCCCGAAGCCAUUAGGCCGAGGGCACGCCUGCCUGGGCGUCACACGUCGUUGCCCCCCCAUCUACUCCUUCGGGAUUGCGGGGGGCGGAUGAUGGCCUCCCGUGCGCCUCGCCGCGCGGUUGGCAUAAAUGCCAAGUCCUCGGCGACGCACGCCACGACAAUCGGUGGUUGCGAAACCUCGGUUGCCCGUCGUGUGCGGUCGUCGCGCAUCGAGGGCUCGAAAAAAUUGCCGGGUUCCGGCUCGGCUUUCAACGCGACCCCAGGUCAGGCGGGGUUACCCGCUGAAUUUAAGCAUAUCAAUAAGCGGAGGA